AGCAGCCGCGGUAAUUCCAGCUCCAAUAGCAUAUAUUAAAGUUGUUGCAGUUAAAAAACUCGUAGUUGAAUUUCGAGACCAGUUUACUGGUCGUGCUUUUGUACGUACUGGUAUAAUCAGUUUCUCUCUUCUGACGAACUAUAAUGCCAUUAAUUUGGUGUUAUGGGAAAUCAGGACUGUUACUUUGAAAAAAUUAGAGUGUUUAAAGCAGGCUCACGCUUGAAUACAUUAGCAUGGAAUAACGGAAUAGGACGUUUGAUUCUAUUUUGUUGGUUUCUAGGGUCGACGUAAUGAUUAAUAGGGAUAGUUGGGGGCAUUAGUAUUCAAUUAUCAGAGGUGAAAUUCUUGGAUUUAUUGAAGACUAACUACUGCGAAAGCAUUUGCCAAGGAUGUUUUCAUUAAUCAAGAACGAAGUUAGGGGAUCGAAGACGAUCAGAUACCGUCGUAGUCUUAACCAUAAACUAUGCCGACUAGGGAUCGGAUGAUGUUAAUUUUUAAUGACUCAUUCGGCGCCUUACGG
rnacentral:rRNA from 1 species